CUAUACAUGCAGUCGAACGAACUUCCGUUAAUUGAUUAUGACGUACUUGUACUGAUUGAGAUUUUAACACGAAGUGAGUGGCGAACGGGUGAGUAACACGUGGGUAACCUGCCCAGAAGUAGGGGAUAACACCUGGAAACAGAUGCUAAUACCGUAUAACAGAGAAAACCGCAUGGUUUUCUUUUAAAAGAUGGCUCUGCUAUCACUUCUGGAUGGACCCGCGGCGUAUUAGCUAGUUGGUGAGGUAAAGGCUCACCAAGGCAGUGAUACGUAGCCGACCUGAGAGGGUAAUCGGCCACAUUGGGACUGAGACACGGCCCAGACUCCUACGGGAGGCAGCAGUAGGGAAUCUUCCACAAUGGACGCAAGUCUGAUGGAGCAACGCCGCGUGAGUGAAGAAGGGUUUCGGCUCGUAAAGCUCUGUUGUUAAAGAAGAACGUGGGUAAGAGUAACUGUUUACCCAGUGACGGUAUUUAACCAGAAAGCCACGGCUAACUACGUGCCAGCAGCCGCGGUAAUACGUAGGUGGCAAGCGUUAUCCGGAUUUAUUGGGCGUAAAGCGAGCGCAGGCGGUCUUUUAAGUCUAAUGUGAAAGCCUUCGGCUCAACCGAAGAAGUGCAUUGGAAACUGGGAGACUUGAGUGCAGAAGAGGACAGUGGAACUCCCAUGUGUAGCGGUGAAAUGCGUAGAUAUAUGGAAGAACACCAGUGGCGAAGGCGGCUGUCUGGUCUGCAACUGACGCUGAGGCUCGAAAGCAUGGGUAGCGAACAGGAUUAGAUACUCUGGUAGUCCAUGCCGUAAACGAUGAUUACUAAGUGUUGGAGGGUUUCCGCCCUUCAGUGCUGCAGCUAACGCAUUAAGUAAUCCGCCUGGGGGAGUACGACGCAAG
rnacentral:rRNA from 1 species